GACGAACGCUGGCGGCGUGCUUAACACAUGCAAGUCGAACGGUCAAGCGCCUUCCUUUUUGGUGGGUGUGGAUGAGUGGCGAACGGGUGAAUAACACGUUAGUAACCUGCCCCCUUCUUCUGGAUAACCGCAUGCAAGUGUUGCUAAUACGGGAUAUUCUGGGUCUGUUGCUUGAUGGGUCUGGGACAGUUAUUGUUUCGGUGGUGGAUGGGCUCGCGGCCUAUCAGCUUGUUGGUGGGGUGAUGGCCUACCAAGGCGGUGACGGGUAGCCGGCCUGAGAGGGUGCACGGACACAGGAGGUCUGAGACACGGCCGAGACUGAUAGGGGGGGCAGCAGGGGGGAAUAUUGCACAAUGGGAGAAAGCGUGAUGCAGCGACGGCGCGGGAGGGAUGGAGGUCUGCGGGUUGUGAACCUCUUUCGCGAGUGAAGCAGGCCUGCCUCGUUUGUGGGUGGGUUGACGGUAGCUGGAUAAGAAGCGCCGGCUAACUACGUG
rnacentral:rRNA from 1 species